rfam:Rattus norvegicus chromosome 14, whole genome shotgun sequence.
GGGGAUUUAGCUCAGUGGUAGAGCGUUUGCCUAGCAAGCGCAAGGCCCUGGGUUCAGUCCCCA